rnacentral:rRNA from 1 species
AAUGAACGUUGGCGGCAUGGAUUAGGCAUGCAAGUCGAGCGACAAGUUCUUCUUCGGAAGAAUGGAGGAGCGGCAAACGGGGUAGUAAGGCGUCGGUUACAAUCCCUCAGGACUGGGAUAGCCAUGGGAAACUGUGGGUAAUACCGGAUAAUCUCUCAGGAGCAAAAAUUUAUUGCCUGAGGACUGGCUGACGUGGUACUAGGUAGUUGGUGAGGUAACGGCUCACCAAGCCUACGAUGCCUAGGGGGUGUGAGAGCAUGGCCCCCACACUGGGACUGAGACACUGCCCAGACAUCUACGGAUGGCUGCAGUCGAGAAUCUUCGGCAAUGGACGAAAGUCUGACCGAGCGAUGCCGCGUGCGGGAUGACGGCCCUUGGGUUGUAACCGCUGUCAGAGGGGAUGAAGCCUUUCGGGUUGACAGAGCCUCAGAGGAAGCACGGGCUAA